rnacentral:rRNA from 1 species
CAGUAGCCGCGGGAAUACGAAGGGGGCUAGCGUUGCUCGGAAUGACUGGGCGUAAAGGGCGCGUAGGCGGCGGCCAAAGUCAGGCGUGAAAUUCCCGGGCUCAACCUGGGGGCUGCGCUUGAUACUUGGUUGCUUGAGUGGGGAAGAGGGUCGUGGAAUUCCCAGUGUAGAGGUGAAAUUCGUAGAUAUUGGGAAGAACACCGGUGGCGAAGGCGGCGACCUGGUCCUUUACUGACGCUGAGGCGCGAAAGCGUGGGGAGCAAACAGGAUUAGAGACCCCUGUAGUCCCUGUCUCUUAUAC